GAGAGAAGCGGGCUCAUGGGCGAGUCUACGUAAAUAACCAAACGGUCCAAAUCGGGCGCAAACUUCUGUGGUUCUGUAGCAGCUCCCAUUGGUACCGCCCAAGCAAAUCGGAGAUCAAAGAGAAACUCUGGAUAUUUAAUUAAGAAACCUGGGACUGUUGGCUGAGCUGUCAGUCUUUCACAAAGGAUCCUAAAAUAGUGAAUUCGGUGCAUCACUACGUAAGGUGGCGCAAGGUCCGGAGCAGAGUGACCUCCUUGUGAAGUUUGUGGCAGCCAGUGGGGUCGCUGUAGUGCCGCACACAGCGAGUCGCAUCGUAGCCCUCAUUGUGCACAGAUUUGAGUGCAAUCUCCGUCCCGUUACGCAAAGUUCCCUUGUGGACAAAUUUCGUGAAUCUGGAGCCCACAUACUGGAGGCCAGUUACAUAGGGUUAUGGCAUUGCCUGAGAUGUUGAGCACUUCCAUGUCUAUCAGCCUCCCUACAACCAUCUCUA